GUUGAUAAGUGCUCAAAAAUAAUGAUUUUACCUAUAUAGUUUAAGCACUUAUUGACUUGUUUUAUAAGUCAUUUUAGAUAAAAACCCCAAUUAUUUGUAAAUAAUAGUUUUUACUAGCAAAUUAGUAUUUUAACUAUUUUAACCAUUUUGUAUCACUUUUGUAGAUUUAUAUCAGCUUAAUGGAAAAAGAAGUACAAAGCUUAGAUGUUAUGAGAUGUUAAACCACUAAGCAAGGUUUUGAUUGGACCACAAGUAUUGGAGUUGGAAGAAACUUGGCUUUAUAGCAAGUAGAGAGUUACACCGCCUCAUGGCAGUUUCCAAUGUUUUACUUUUUUAUUACUUAAUCCCAAAGACUUCUAGCUGCUUAAGUGAAAGUUUUUAAAGCUAUAAAAGGAGCCAUCAGCCACUCCUUAAUUUCAUUCUUACACGCCCAAACUAAAGAAACAGGGAGGACUGAAGCACGGAAGAAACAAGAGCAAGGCAAAGGUGGGAUGCACGCCAACCAUUCGAGAAAUCGACGCCGGUGUUGUUAUUUCAUCUCUUUUCUUCUCACUUGUGUAAAGCUAUCAUGGUAAUGGUAAUGAGUAGCUAAAGACACUUUUGUUGGGAUUAGGUGUAAAUUACUCUAUUAGUAUGNNNNN
rnacentral:lncRNA from 1 species